ACAAUAUUGUUACAACCUUGUGUCGUGAAUCUUGUAACAUUCUUGUUCAUCAUGACUGUAUCAGACUUGUUAGGACAACCUUGUGAAAAGUCUGAUAAUGCCAUCAAGCUUGUUCCAAGUUGUUAACAGCUAAACAGCUUGUUCCAAACUUGUUACAACAACUGGGAACAAGCAGUACGAAGACAACUUGUUGACAGCCUGUGAACAGAUUUGUAACAACGUGUUUGCAGACUUGUAACAACUUGUGCGUUUUUACGUGUGUAGGAGUGUUUUAUCAUAUUUAAAAUGCGAGUGCGCAGCACGUGCAUUUUAGGUAUGAUGAAACACGGCUAUAAGUGCUUUUAGCUUCAAAUACGACUAAAAUAAUAAAAUAUAUGCCGUCUCAUUAGUAUUCUUUAGAUAAAGAAUACUAAUUAGGAUGGGCUUUUAUAUAAAGAAUACUAAUGAAGAUGAGUUUUAUCUUCAUGAUCACGUGACAUAUUAUGGUUGAAAUGAUUUGCCAAUAAGCUAUGAAUUAUUAAUGAUGUUUGAAUGCAAUUUUAUUCACACUUUUAUAGGAACAACAUAUCCAAACGUAACAUAUUCCAGAGCGCAAGGCUUCAAGGAAUCAUUCAUUAUUAACAGAGAAAGAGAAUGGGGGGGGGUCUUAUUUUUCAUAAUAUAACUUUCGGGGGGGACACAAGAAUUGUUUUGUUUGAUCUUGGAAGCCGAAAUAAAUGAAAGUCACACAUAUUUAAAUGUCAUGUUCGUUUUGGUAAAAUUCGGCAAAUUCUGCCGUGUUAAAAUUUUAAUGAAAUUUUGUAUAUGCACGCACGAAGGUUAUCGUUAGUAAUUUGGCGA